rnacentral:tRNA from 1 species
UUAAUUAAAGCCAAAAAGAGGCGUAUCAUUGUUAAUGAUAUCACUGAGUUACUCUAAUUAAA